rnacentral:lncRNA from 10 species
AGAUGCAGGAUGACUGAAGCCCGAUUCUGGGGGUUGUUACAGCACAGUUACAGGGCCUUCCUCACACCCAUGUCUUCAGAUACCCAAGGCCUUUAAUACCCAAGUCCUUCCAGGAUUCUGCACAUCUCAUUAGCUUCAUAUUCCCAUUUGCUGUAUUAUCAGUGUCUGAUGAUGUUGACAAUGUUGAAGAAGAAGAAAGAAGAGGAGUUGGAGGAGGAGGAAGAAAACAUCCAGAGCAUUCAAUUUAUUCUAGUUAAAUUACUAACCAGAAAGAGAAUGCCCUCGGAAGUCUACUUUAUAAUGCUGUUUGGUUCUAAGUAAAGAGCAUCUAAUAGGGAGACAUGUAAAUCCUGUUUCCAAAACACACUUAGAGGAUUACAGCAUGUGAAAGAUUUGCUCCCUACCUGGCUCAGAGCUACGAAGGUCACAUUGGCUGUCAAAGGACAUGUCUUCUGGCUAGAAGAAGCCCUGGUGAAAUCUUAUGUGAUAUCGGCACCUUUGCAGAAAGUAAGAAACAAAUCACCUGAAAUCUACACACUUAAAUUCAGCCUGUGUUGGUCUAAUCAAAUUUGGCCC